AAGUCGAGGGGUAACGGGGAAGCUUGCUUCCGCCGACGACCGGCGCACGGGUGCGUAACGCGUAUACAAUCUACCUUAUACUGGGGUAUAGCCUUUAGAAAUGAAGAUUAACCCCCCAUAGUCUCUUAGAGUGGCAUCACUUCUAGAGUAAAGGUUACGGUAUAAGAUGAGUAUGCGUUCUAUUAGUUUGUUGGUGUGGUAACGGCACACCAAGACUACGAUAGAUAGGGGCCCUGAGAGGGGGAUCCCCCACACUGGUACUGAGACACGGACCAGACUCCUACGGGAGGCAGCAGUGAGGAAUAUUGGACAAUGGAGGCAACUCUGAUCCAGCCAUGCCGCGUGCAGGAAGACUGCCCUAUGGGUUGUAAACUGCUUUUAUACAGGAAGAAACACCUCUACGUGUAGAGGCUUGACGGUACUGUAAGAAUAGGGAUCGGCUAACUCCGUGCCAGCAGCCGCGGUAAUACGGAGGAUCCAAGCGUUAUCCGGAAUCAUUGGGGUUUAAAGGGUCCGUAGGUGAAUAAUUAAAGUUCAGAGGUGAAAUCUUGCAACU
rnacentral:rRNA from 1 species